GGCGAACGGGUGAGUAACACGUGAGGAACCUGCCCUGGACUUUGGGAUAACCCUCGGAAACGGGGGCUAAUACCAGAUACGACACUUCACCGCAUGGUGUGGGUGUGGAAAGUUUUUCGGUCUGGGAUGGUCUCGCGGCCUAUCAGCUUGUUGGUGGGGUAAUGGCCUACCAAGGCGACGACGGGUAGCCGGCCUGAGAGGGCGACCGGCCACACUGGGACUGAGACACGGCCCAGACUCCUACGGGAGGCAGCAGUGGGGAAUAUUGCACAAUGGGCGGAAGCCUGAUGCAGCGACGCCGCGUGAGGGAUGACGGCCUUCGGGUUGUAAACCUCUUUCAGCAGGGACGAAGCGCAAGUGACGGUACCUGCAGAAGAAGCGCCGGCCAACUACGUGCCAGCAGCCGCGG
rnacentral:rRNA from 1 species